AGAGUUUGAUCCUGGCUCAGGACGAACGCUGGCGGUGUGCUUCACACAUGCAAGUCGAACGAGGUAGCAAUACCUAGUGGCGGACGAGUGAGUAACGCGUGGGAAUCUGCCUUUAGAUGGGGGAUAACGAGCCGAAAGGUUCGCUAAUACCGCAUAUGCCGCAAGGUGAAAGGAGUAAUCCGUCUAAAGAUGAGCCCGCGUCCGAUUAGCUAGUUGGUGGGGUAAAGGCCUACCAAGGCGACGAUCGGUAGCUGGUCUGAGAGGAUGAUCAGCCACAAUGGGACUGAGACACGGCCCAUACUCCUACGGGAGGCAGCAGUGGGGAAUUUUACGCAAUGGGGGAAACCCUGACGUAGCGACACCGCGUGAGCGAAGAAGCCCCUUGGGGUGUAAAGCUCUGUCAGCUGGAACGAAACAAAUGACGGUACCAGCAGAGGAAGCAUCGGCUAACUACGUGCCAGCAGCCGCGGUAAGACGUAGGAUGCGAGCGUUGUCCGGAUUUAUUGGGCGUAAAGAGUUCGUAGGUGGUUUGUUAAGUUUGAUGUUAAAGAUCGGGGCUCAACCUCGGGACAGCAUUGAAUACUGGCAGACUUGAGUAUGGUAGAGGCUAGUGGAAUUCCCAGUGUAGCGGUGAAAUGCGUAGA
rnacentral:rRNA from 1 species